CCUACGGGAGGCAGCAGUGGGGGAUAUUGCACAAUGGGGGGAACCCUGAUGCAGCGACGCCGCGUGGGUGAAGAAGCGCCUCGGCGCGUAAAGCCCUGUUAGCAGGGAAGAAAAUGACGGUACCUGAAGAAGAAGCCCCGGCUAACUACGGGCCAGCAGCCGCGGGAACCAGUAGGGGGCAAGCGUUAUCCGGAUUUACUGGGGGUAAAGGGGGCGCAGACGGGGAAGCAAGCCAGGAGGGAAAGCCCGGGGCCCAACCCCGGGACUGCUGUUGGAACUGCGUGGCUGGAGUGCAGGAGGGGGAGGCGGAAUUCGUGGUGUAGCGGUGAAAUGCGUAGAUAUCAGGAGGAACACCGGUGGCGAAGGCGGCCUGCUGGACUGCAACUGACGUUGAGGCCCGAAAGCGUGGGGAGCAAACAGGAUUAGAUACCCUAGUAGUC
rnacentral:rRNA from 1 species